rnacentral:rRNA from 1 species
UGAGGAAUAUUGCGCAAUGGCCGAAAGGCUGACGCAGCGACGCCGCGUGAGGGAUGAAAUCCGUUAGGAUGUAAACCUCUUUUACAGGGGAUGAAUGUCCCGUUUGACGGGAUUGACAGUACCCUGGGAAUAAGGAUCGGCUAACUACGUGCCAGCAGCCGCGGUAAUACGUAGGAUCCGAGCGUUGUCCGGAAUUACUGGGUGUAAAGGGCGUGUAGGUGGGUUCCUAAGUCGAUGGUGAAAUCCUGCAGCUUAACUGCAGAACUGCCUUCGAUACUGGGGAUCUUGAGUGCGGCAGAGGGAGAUGGAAUUCAUGGUGUAGCGGUGAAAUGUGUAGAUAUCAUGAAGAACACCGGUAGCGAAGGCGGUCUCCUGGUCCGCAACUGACACUGAGGCGCGAAAGCGUGGGGAGCAAACAGG